rnacentral:rRNA from 1 species
AGGCAGCAGUGGGGAAUAUUGGACAAUGGGCGCAAGCCUGAUCCAGCCAUGCCGCGUGUGUGAAGAAGGCCUUCGGGUUGUAAAGCACUUUUGUCCGGAAAGAAAAGCUUAGGGUUAAUAACCCUGAGUCAUGACGGUACCGGAAGAAUAAGCACCGGCUAACUUCGUGCCAGCAGCCGCGGUAAUACGAAGGGUGCAAGCGUUACUCGGAAUUACUGGGCGUAAAGCGUGCGUAGGUGGUUUUUUAAGUCUGAUGUGAAAGCCUUGGGCUCAACCUGGGAAUUGCAUUGGAAACUGGGUUACUUGAGUGCGGUAGAGGGUAGUGGAAUUCCCUGUGUAGCAGUGAAAUGCGUAGAUAUCGGGAGGAACAUCCGUGGCGAAGGCGGCUACCUGGACCAGCACUGACACUGAGGCACGAAAGCGUGGGGAGCAAACAGGAUUAGAUACCCUGGUAGUCCACGCCCUAAACGAUGCGAACUGGAUGUUGGGGGCAACUUGGCCCUCAGUAUCGAAGCUAACGCGUUAAGUUCGCCGCCUGGGAAGUACGGUCGCAAGACUGAAACUCAAAGGAAUUGACGG